GAUUAUGGCUCAGAACGAACGCUGGCGGCGCGUCUUAAGCAUGCAAGUCGAACGGCAAGAGGUAGCAAUACCUCCUAGAGUGGCGGACUGGUGAGUAACACGUGGGUGACAUACCCUUCAGAUGGGGAUAGCUAUUAGAAAUAGUAGAUAAUACCGAAUACGAGCACAGGGGUUAGAGAUCUGUGAGGAAAGGAGCUAAGGCUCCGCUGAAGGAAUGGCCUGCGGCCCAUUAGCUAGUUGGUGAGGUAAGAGCCCACCAAGGCGAUGAUGGGUAUCCGGCCUUAGAGGGUGAACGGACACAUUGGGACUGAGAUACGGCCCAGACUCCUACGGGAGGCAGCAGCUAAGAAUAUUCCGCAAUGGACGAAAGUCUGACGGAGCGACGCCGCGUGGAUGAAGAAGGCCGGAAGGUUGUAAAAUCCUUUUGAAACUGAAGAAUAAGCGUUGUAGGGAAUGACAGCGUGGUGACAGUAGGUUUUGAAUAAGCAACGGCUAAUUACGUGCCAGCAGCAGC
rnacentral:rRNA from 1 species